AAUCCGUCUUGUGGGCACUUUCUGGGAGCUCCUUGAACCUUUCCCAUGUCUCGAAUAGAGACUCAAUCUACUGUACAAAGGAUGAGAUCUCAUUUCUAAGCUU